UUUCAGGUUGUGCAAGAAUGCAACCGCAGAACACUAUGGAGAAGAGAAAAAAUAAUAGUGGUUUUCUAAAUAUGCACUGCAUUGUUCCUUGCAUACACCACCAAAAUAUUUGCUUCUUUAUAUAGGACUCCUCAUGUCAAAAACUCCAUUGCAGACAAAUCCCAAACACUAAAAAUCAGGAGAUCCAAAUCCAUUGAAUUUAAUGUGCCAGGAUCAAAAUCUGCUAAAUGCGACUCGAACUUCCCAGCAAAG
rnacentral:misc_RNA from 1 species